GCGAGAAACCUUUGCAAUGUGCGCAAGCACGACAAGGUUAAUCCGAGUGUUUCCUGCUAAAGGAAUCUUUUGUUAGUUCUAAAACCACUGAUGAAUAAGAGGUGGGCAAGUUCUGGUGUCAGCCGCCGCGGUAAAACCAGCACCUCAAGUGGUCAGGAUGAUUAUUGGGCCUAAAGCAUCCGUAGCUCGUUUUGCAAGUUUUCGGUUAAAUCCAUGCGCUUAACGUAUGGGCUGCCGGGAAUACUGCAUAACUAGGAAGUGGGAGAGGUAGACGGUACUCGGUAGGAAGGGGUAAAAUCCUUUGAUCUAUUGAUGACCACCUGUGGCGAAGGCGGUCUACCAGAACACGUUCGACGGUGAGGGAUGAAAGCUGGGGGAGCAAACCGGAUUAGAUACCCGGGGU
rnacentral:rRNA from 1 species